rnacentral:rRNA from 1 species
CGAAAGCCUGACGGAGCAAUACCGCGUGAGGGAGGAAGGCUUUUGGGUUGUAAACCUCUUUUGUCAGGGAAGAAAAUUUGACGGUACCUGAAGAAAAAGCAUCGGCUAACUCCGUGCCAGCAGCCGCGGCAAUACGGAGGAUGCAAGCGUUAUCCGGAAUAAUUGGGCGUAAAGGGUCCGCAGGUGGCCAUUCAAGUCUGCUGUCAAAGACCGUGGCUCAACCACGGAAAGGCAGUGGAAACUGUUUAGCUAGAGUACGGUAGGGGUAGAGGGAAUUCCCAGUGUAGCGGUGAAAUGCGUAGAUAUUGGGAAGAACACCGGUGGCGAAAGCGCUCUACUGGGCCGAAACUGACACUGAGGGACGAAAGCUAGGGUAGCGAAAGGGAUUAGAUACCCCUGUAGUCUUAGCUGUAAACGAUGGAUACUAGGUGUAGCUUGUAUCGACCCGAGCUGUGCCGAAGCUAACGCGUUAAGUAUCCCGCCUGGGGAGUACGCACGCAAGUGUGAAACUCAAAGGAAUUGACGGGGGCCCGCACAAGCGGUGGAGUAUGUGGUUUAAUUCGAUGCAACGCGAAGAACCUUACCAGGGCUUGACAUGUGGCGAAUCUCUGUGAAAGCAGGGAGUGCCUUAGGGAGCGCCAACACAGGUGGUGCAUGGCUGUCGUCAGCUCGUGUCGUGAGAUGUUGGGUUAAGCCCCGCAACGAGCGCAACCCUCGUUUUUAGUUGCCAUUUUAAUGGCUCUCUAGAGAGACUGCCGGGGACAACUCGGAGGAAGGUGGGGAUGACGUCAAGUCAGCAUGCCCCUUACGCCCUGGGCUACACACGUACUACAAUGGUUGGGACAAAGGGCAGCAAACCCGCGAGGGCAAGCGAAUCUCAUCAAACCCAGCCUCAGUUCAGAUUGCAGGCUGCAACUCGCCUGCAUGAAGGAGGAAUCGCUAGUAAUCGCAGGUCAGCAUGCUGCGGUGAAUUCGUUCCCGGGCCUUGUACACACCGCCCGUCACACCAUGGAAGCUGGCUACGCCCGAAGUCGUUACCCUAACCCUUAGGGGAGGGGGAUGCCGAAGGUAGAGCUAGUGACUGAGGUGAAGUCGUAACAAGGUAGCCGUACCGGAAGGUGUGGCUGGAUCACCUCCUUUA